rnacentral:lncRNA from 1 species
CAAGUACAGCCCAAGAAAAUUUGUGAAGGAAAAUUAAUAUAUAACUAAGUCAACGAAGAAUAUAAAAGUGUAGCAAGAGGAAUUACAGAGAAAAUUUUAGAUCAAAGGGGAUAUAAACAGGUACAGGUGAGAGGGAACAUCUAUACACAUGACACAAAACUCCUUGGAGCCACGUCAGAUAGGCAGGACUGGGCCCUUUGGCUCCCAGUAUGUACUCCUUAUCUGGAAAAUAUUCCUGCAAAGAUGAUGGGAUGCCCAAAAAGACCCAUCUUGAAAUUAAUGAGGACCAACUUCAGGGGAGCAACAUUCUGUAAUGAAACUCCACUGCCAAUGAAGCGAGAGAAUAGCGACGUGGUGUAUGGAUACAGUGACAGAAAAUCUGAGACUGCGCUGACAGGGCUCAGAUAGAGCACCCUAGAUGUGCAGUACUUUUAUUAUCCAGAAUUGAACAGAGAGGCUGAGCUAUCAUGUACAGAUACAAAAGAAGUCAGGGUUACUGCAUACAGAUCAACAAGGAGGAAGUGUUAGUAAAUACAACUGAGCAAGGAAAGAGGCUUUGCUAAUCUCUGUGGGAGCAGUCUUCAGGCCACAAAGAAGGAGGAGGUUCUGGUAGAAAUAUUCUGUACAUACUGCCAAUAUCUAUGCAUGGUCCAGAGGAAGGCUUUGCCAGCCCUCUGAGUUUCACUCCUGGGAGAAAGCUUUUCUAUUUUCCCAUGUCUCUUGGGUCUUUGACAUAUCUGUACCUCUGUCAACAGCACAAAAUCACUCAGAACUUCAUUCACUAGGGGAUUUGUUCCCUAUGAUUCCUAUAGUAACUGUUUAUAAAGUGUUGCACAGAGUAGCCUAUUUAUCCUGUAUACUUGAA